GAUCAAAGCACACCCAUCUCUUAAAAAACCUUCCCAGAGAGAAGUGGAGAGCAAAGCUACUUGGGGAAGGGCAACAUGUGUGGAGAGUGAGGCAGUAACUGCAGGAGAUCCUGUUCACCUCAGUCCAAACAGCACGGAUGCCCAAACAAAACAAAACAUUAUAAAAUCUAUAAGCACACAUUUAAAACCUUAGACAUCUGCUGUCACACAAAGUAAAAAACUUAUAAAAAGGCAAUGAGAUUUGCUCUAUUACAUUCCACAUGACAGACUGUGGAUAGCUCACAUGAGUGAAACUGGAAUUGUUGAUAGUGGACACCCAUGGAGGUCAUUGGCAUACCAGCUCAUUUGCCAAGAGGAGUAUGAUACUGCCUUGCUCCACACAUGGGGCUAUUGCUAUAUAUCUUCCAUCACACCGUACGCUUUGCUCCCUGUUCACAGGAUGACACUUCUUUCACUAUUGCCAUUCUCAUUGGGAUCAUCGGUUUCAGCAGCACCUUUAGAGAGCUUACUAGCAAGCUGCCUAACUUGGGACAUUGCUCUGAGCUUGAUUAAAUUCAGCUGGCAUUAGAAAACUUUAUCCCAGAUGUUUAUUUGACAAAUGCUUAAC
ensembl:lncRNA